rnacentral:rRNA from 1 species
UACGGAGGGUGCAAGCGUUAUCCGGAUUUAUUGGGUUUAAAGGGUCCGUAGGCGGGUUAAUAAGUCAGUGGUGAAAUCCUGCAGCUUAACUGUAGAACUGCCAUUGAUACUGUUAGUCUUGAGUGUUGUUGAUGUAGCUGGAAUGUGUGGUGUAGCGGUGAAAUGCAUAGAUAUCACACAGAACACCAAUUGCGAAGGCAGGUUACAAAGCAACAACUGACGCUGAUGGACGAAAGCGUGGGGAGCGAACAGG